AGUGAACGCUGGCGGUAUGCCUAACACAUGCAAGUCGAACGGCCGCACAGUAAGCUCUUGCUCUUACGGUUGGCGAGUGGCGGACGGGUGAGGAAUACAUCGGCAUCUUCUUUUUCUUGGGUAACAUCGUGGGAAAACUUCUGCUACUACCUCAUAUAUUCAACCGCUUAAUUCAGUAGUUCUUGGCACUUUUCCUGUCACUUAUAGCUGAUUCCGCAUUAGCGAGUUGGGUGGGUAAGGGCCUACCAAGGCGACGAUCCGUAGCUGGUCUGAGAGGAUGAUCGGCCACACUGGAACUGAGACACGGUCCAGACUCCUACGGGAGGCAGCAGUGGGGAAUAUUGGACAAUGGGCGCAAGCCUGACCCAGCAAUACCGCGUGAGUGAAGAAGGCCUUCGGGUUGUAAAGCCCUGUUAUUAGGAAAGAAAAAAAGUGGAAUAAAACCUGGCUGUUCUGACGGUACCCAAAGAGUAAGCACCGGCUAACUACGCG
rnacentral:rRNA from 1 species